rnacentral:rRNA from 1 species
GACGAACGCUGGCGGCGUGCUUAACACAUGCAAGUCGAACGGAAAGGCCCUGCUUUUGUGGGGUGCUCGAGUGGCGAACGGGUGAGUAACACGUGAGUAACCUGCCCUUGUCUUUGGGAUAACUUCAGGAAACUGGGGCUAAUACCGGAUAGGAGCUCCUGCUGCACGGUGGGGGUUGGAAAGUUUCGGCGGUUGGGGCUGGACUCGCGGCUUAUCCGCUUGUUGGUGGGGUAGUGGCUUACCAAGGCUUUGACGGGUAGCCGGCCUGAGAGGGUGACCGGCCACAUUGGGCCUGAGAGACGGCCCAGACGCCUACGGGAGGCAGCAGUGGAGAAUAUGGCAGAAUGAGCGGAAGCCUGAUGCAGCAGCGCCGCGUGCGUGAUGACGGCCUUCGAGUUGUAAACCUCUUUCGCCGGUGACGAAGCGUGAGUGACGGUAAUGGGUAAAAAAGCACCGGCUAACUACGUG